rnacentral:rRNA from 1 species
AGAGUUUGAUCAUGGCUCAGGAUGAACGCUGGCGGCGUGCCUAACACAUGCAUGUCGAACGAGAAGUUAACUUCUGAUUCCUUCGGGAUGAUGAGGUUGGCAGAGAGUGGCGAACGGGUGAGUAACGCGUGGGUAAUCUACCCUGUAAGUGGGGGAUAACCCUCCGAAAGGAGGGCUAAUACCGCAUAAUAUCUUUAUCCCAAAAGAGGUAAAGAUUAAAGAUGGCCUCUAUACUAUGCUAUCACUUCAGGAUGAGCCCGCGUCCUAUUAGUUAGUUGGUGGGGUAAUGGCCUACCAAGACUACAAUGGGUAGCCGGUCUGAGAGGAUGUACGGCCACACUGGGACUGAGAUACGGCCCAGACUCCUACGGGAGGCAGCAGUGGGGAAUAUUGCGCAAUGGGGGAAACCCUGACGCAGCGACGCCGCGUGGAUGAUGAAGGCCCUUGGGUUGUAAAAUCCUGUUCUGGGGGAAGAAAGCUUAAGAGUCCAAUAAACUUUUAAGCCUGACGGUACCCCAAGAGAAAGCUCCGGCUAAUUAUGUGCCAGCAGCCGCGGUAAUACAUAAGGAGCAAGCGUUAUCCGGAAUUAUUGGGCGUAAAGAGCUCGUAGGCGGUCUUAAAAGUCAGGUGUGAAAUUAUCAGGCUCAACCUGAUAAGGUCAUCUGAAACUUUAAGACUUGAGGUUAGAAGAGGAAAGUGGAAUUCCCGGUGUAGCGGUGAAAUGCGUAGAUAUCGGGAGGAGCACCAGUGGCGAAGGCGGCUUUCUGGUCUAUCUCUGACGCUGAAGAGCGAAAGCU